rnacentral:lncRNA from 1 species
CUUUACUCUUUUUUUUUUUUUUUUGAGAUAGUGUCUCUCUGUGUCUCUGUGUACCCCUGGCUGUCUUGAAACUCUCAAUGUAAACUAUGCUGGCCUGCUUCUGCCUCCUGAGUGCUGGGACCAAAGUCAUGUGCCACUGUACCCAGGUGUCCUGGUACUUACAUGGUAGACCAGGCUGAUCUCAAACUCAGAGAUCUGCUUGCCUCUGCCUCCUAGCAUUAGUAGUCAGUUUAGCAAAGCAAUAGAAGUAAGUUCCUCCCUAGAGCCUAUGAUUGUCAGCUUCUGACCACGUUUACUUUAUCAGGUCUGAAUUUUUUCAAUGUAUCCAGAAGUAAUUGGUUGCCUAUAUAACUUAUUUGCCAGUGAAGGACUAUUGCAUGUAUCUUCCCUGGAAGAUUGAUAUUAUAGCAUUCAGGGCUGGGUGCAAGGAUACGAUUGAUGCAUGUCCCCCACCCUACUCUCUGUGUAACACCCAGUACUAUGAAAGCUAGUCAGCAGGAAGUUUUCAGAUUGUUUCCAUCUUGGUUAUAUUAUGUCCAGCAUCCAAAAUGUGAAAGCAUAAAUUUUUGAUUUAUAUUUGUGAUAGCCCCUUGAGUGUGCAUUCUUCCCAUUAUCCAAGUGGUGAUUGGCAAGUGUUUGCCUUAUCAGUUAAGCUAUAACAGGCUCUGAAAGAAAUCUGUCAGGCCUCUGUUUUCUCAGUUGCUAAGUGGUAGCAAUACUAUGUCUAAGAUGAAUGGAAAGAUUUAAUCAAGUUUAUUUAAAAAAAAAAAAGCAGAGAACCACAAACAAUCCCUUAGAUUGUAAAAUCACAGCAGUUUGCAUUUGGAAACCAAGAAAAUGAAACUUUUUUAUGUCUAUAACAUUUUAGGAAAUGGUUACAUGUUAUUUUGAGCUAAAGCAGAAUUUAUUUUUUCUAUUUUCUAGAAUAAUAAAUAUUUUAAUGAUGGG